rnacentral:rRNA from 1 species
AUUGAACGCUGGCGGCAGGCCUAACACAUGCAAGUCGAACGGUAACAGGAAGCAGCUUGCUGCUUCGCUGACGAGUGGCGGACGAGUGAGUCAUGUCUGGGAAGCUGCCUGAUGGAGGGGGAUAACUACUGGAAACGGUAGCUAAUACCGCAUAAUGUCGCAAGACCAAAGAGGGGGACCUUCGGGCCUCUUGCCAUCGGAUGUGCCCAGAUGGGAUUAGCUUGUUGGUGGGGUAACGGCUCACCAAGGCGACGAUCCCUAGCUGGUCUGAGAGGAUGACCAGCCACACUGGAACUGAGACACGGUCCAGACUCCUACGGGAGGCAGCAGUGGGGAAUAUUGCACAAUGGGCGCAAGCCUGAUGCAGCCAUGCCGCGUGUAUGAAGAAGGCCUUCGGGUUGUAAAGUACUUUCAGCGGGGAGGAAGGGAGUAAAGUUAAUACCUUUGCUCAUUGACGUUACCCGCAGAAGAAGCACCGGCUAACUCCGUG